rnacentral:snoRNA from 12 species
AAGACUGUACUUUCGGGGAUCAUUUCUAUAGUUCGUCACUAGAGAAGUUUCUCUGAAUGUGUAGAAUACCCUAAACCAUGAGGAGGAGGUGCAGUGUUCUCUCCUGAGCAAUACCUCUUCUGGUAUUGCUUUUAGAACUGCCAAUAGCCAUUGAUGAUUGUUCUUCUCUUCCUUCAGAAGAGUAAGAGGGGGAGAACACAGUCUGAGUGGU